CCUACGGGUGGCUGCAGUGGGGAAUAUUGGACAAUGGGGGCAACCCUGAUCCAGCCAUGCCGCGUGUGUGAAGAAGGCCCUCGGGUUGUAAAGCACUUUCAGUGAGGAAGAACGCCUGGUGGUUAAUACCCAUCAGGAAAGACAUCACUCACAGAAGAAGCACCGGCUAACUCCGUGCCAGCAGCCGCGGUAAUACGGAGGGUGCGAGCGUUAAUCGGAAUUACUGGGCGUAAAGCGCGCGUAGGUGGCUUGAUAAGCCGGUUGUGAAAGCCCCGGGCUCAACCUGGGAACGGCAUCCGGAACUGUCAAGCUAGAGUGCAGGAGAGGAAGGUAGAAUUCCCGGUGUAGCGGUGAAAUGCGCAGAGAUCGGGAGGAAUACCAGUGGCGAAGGCGGCCUUCUGGACUGACACUGACACUGAGGUGCGAAAGCGUGGGUAGCAAACAGGAUUAGAUACCCCAGUAGUC
rnacentral:rRNA from 1 species